UACGUAGGGGGCAAGCGUUGUCCGGAUUUAUUGGGCGUAAAGCGCUCGCAGGCGGCCCGAUGCGUCGUGCGUGAAACACCCCGGCUCAACUGGGGAGGGUCGUGCGAUACGGUCGGCUUGAGGCCAGUAGGGGGGAUGCGGAAUUCCGGGUGUAGUGGUGGAAUGCGUAGAGAUCCGGAGGAACACCAGCGGCGAAGGCGGCAUCCUGGACUGGUACUGACGCUCAUGAGCGAAAGCGUGGGGAGCG
rnacentral:rRNA from 1 species